rnacentral:rRNA from 1 species
AACGCGAAGAACCUUACCUAGUCUUGACAUGCAGGGGACAGCGGCAGAAAUGUCGCCUUUCGAAAGAACCGCUGCACAGGUGCUGCAUGGCUGUCGUCAGCUCGUGCCGUGAGGUGUUUGGUUAAGUCCAGCAACGAGCGCAACCCUUAUCAUUAGUUGCCAACAGUUCGGCUGGGAACUCUAAUGAGACUGCCUGGGUAACCAGGAGGAAGGUGAGGAUGACGUCAAGUCAGCAUGGCCCUUAUGACUAGGGCAACACACGUGCUACAAUGGCCGGUACAGAAGGCAGCAAAACCGUAAGGUGGAGCAAAUCCCGAAAGCCGGUCUCAGUUCAGAUUGUAGUCUGCAACUCGACUACAUGAAGUCGGAAUUGCUAGUAAUGGCGGGUCAGCUACACCGCCGUGAAUACGUUCCCGGGCCUUGUACACACCGGAGUA